rnacentral:rRNA from 1 species
AGUGAACGCUGGCGGUAGGCCUAACACAUGCAAGUCGAACGGCAGCACAGUAAGAGCUUGCUCUUACGGGUGGCGAGUGGCGGACGGGUGAGGAAUACAUCGGAAUCUACUUUUUCGUGGGGGAUAACAUAGGGAAACUUACGCUAAUACCGCAUACGACCUACGGGUGAAAGCAGGGGAUCUUCGGACCUUGCGCGAUUGAAUGAGCCGAUGUCGGAUUAGCUAGUUGGCGGGGUAAAGGCCCACCAAGGCGACGAUCCGUAGCUGGUCUGAGAGGAUGAUCAGCCACACUGGAACUGAGACACGGUCCAGACUCCUACGGGAGGCAGCAGUGGGGAAUAUUGGACAAUGGGCGCAAGCCUGAUCCAGCCAUACCGCGUGGGUGAAGAAGGCCUUCAGGUUGUAAAGCCCUUUUGUUGGGAAAGAAAAGCAGCAGGUUAAUACCCCGCUGUUCUGACGGUACCCAAAGAAUAAGCACCGGCUAACUUCGUG